UACGGAGGAUGCAAGCGUUAUCCGGAAUGAUUGGGCGUAAAGCGUCCGCAGGUGGCUGUGUAAGUCUGCUGUCAAAGAGCAAAGCUCAACUUUGUAAAGGCAGUGGAAACUACACGGCUAAAGUGCGUUCGGGGCAGAGGGAAUUCCUGGUGUAGCGGUGAAAUGCGUAGAGAUCAUGAGGAAGACCAGUGGCGAAGGCGGGUCUCUGGACAGUUCCUGACACUGAGGCACGAAGGCCAGGGGAGCAAACGGG
rnacentral:rRNA from 1 species